UGACAAAUAUGUACUGAUAAAAAUAAAGUUUGAAAAAGGAUCAUUUCACUUUAUAUUCAUAAGAUCAUUUCUAGUACAUCUAUUCUGUUCCAUUGGUCUAUGUAUAUUUUAUGCCAAUACAAUACUGCUUUGGUUACCAAAGCUUAGUACAUGGCAUGAGAAUGAAAACAUUGAGAAUAUAUCAUUUCACCCAAUCAGAAUGGCUAUUAUCAAAAUAACAAUAAACAAAUGAUUAUAAAGAUAGGGAGAAAAAAGAACUCUUAUAACUGCUGGUAGGAAAUCAAAAUUGCUAUUGCCAUUAGGGAAGACAGUAGGGAAGGUCUUCAGAAAGUAAAAAUUGAACUACCAUAUGAUUCAGUUAUACCACUCCUAGAUAUAUGUAUAUGUAUAUCUCCAGAGGAAAUGAAAUCAACACCCCAGAGAGAUACCUGCUUGUUGCUUUUUUAUCACAGCAGUAUUAACACUGGCUAAGAUAUUAUUUCAUUUAGAUGUCCAUCAAAGAAUAAAUGGAUAAGGCAAAUGUGGUAUGCAUACACUAUGGGAUAUUACUCAGCUGUAAAGAAGAAUGAAAUUUUGUCAUUUAUAACAAAAUAGAAGGAACCAGAGAAGAUUAUGUUAAGUGAAAUAAGCCAGACACAGGAAAACAAAUGCUAUAUAUUCUCAUAUAUGGAACCUAAAAAUCUUUCUUUCUGUAAAAUAGUGGUCACUAGAGGUUGGGAAGAGUAGGAAAGAAGGUGGAUACAGGGAGGUUGGAAACUGUUACCAAAUCCCACAGAGAAAGAAUAAGUUCUAAUGUUCCACAGCAUAGAAGGAUGGUUAUACUUCACAAAGACCUACUGUAUAUUUUAUGAAGAUUUGGCUGAUGGGAGGUCAAAAACUCCAAACACACAAGAACAAGAGGUAAGAAAAAUGCUAAUUAAUCUAGUUUGAUUGGUAGGUACUGUAUACUGAUGUUGAAAUAUCACACCAAACCCCAAUAAUAUGGGCAAUUAAUACAUAUAAAUAAAAAUAAAAUAGACAGUACCUCUAAAAGAAAGCAUAUUUAGGCCUAAAGUUCCACAUUUGUAUAUGCUUUUUUUUGCCAUUGGUCAUACCUUUUGAUAAAGUAAAAAUAUACCUAAAAGAAAAGAAUGUUUGCAUAGAAGUCGAUUGCAAUGGGAGAGUUUUCUCUGUUUAUUUCUAUAAUUCAUAAAAUCUUUCCAUCUUUCAAUCAGGGAAUAUCCUUAGAAAUCUUUGUCAUAAAAGUUACUGGAGAUGGAGAUGAAAUACAAAAAAGCAGCAGUACUGCUGUUCUGUGGAGCAGCCUUGACUAUCUCAUAGUAACUCACGGUGACUCACUAGAACUUUCAAAGCACAGCUGGCAUCUCUGGGAACCCUCUGGAAUGAAAAGUAUAACACAGUGUUAGGGCCAAACGGUGACCUAAUAAGCUAUUCUAGUACUGAUCCUUCUUUGUGGAGAUUGGGUUUAAUGUGCAAUGCUGCCGAUGGUCUUCUGAAAUGAGUCGAGAAAGAUGGACAGCUCACUGGGCGGGAAAGGAUUUGUGUUUCAAUGCUGUCCUCAGCCCACUGAACUGUGUGAUGAAGGUCUGCAUGCCUGAGCCUUACAUUCCCUCUUUCCCUUCUGUAUGGCUUUAGGAAGUAGCCAGAGAUCAGUCGUGAAGGCACGUGACAGGGCUGAGCUACUCUGCAGAGCAAAGUAGCAUGAAGGGAAGAAGGAAAGCACAAGGGGACCACUAAAGCUUCUGCUUUGGUAAAUUUCUGAGUUGCCUCACACCUAAGAAUGGCAGGGCUGGUUAUCAGGAGAGUGUCUUAGGGUCUGGUAUCUUGUUUAUUGUAAUUUCAUUGAGAAAAGAAACACGCUUUCAAAUCUUUAUCCAAACUUGAUUUUAAAAAGCCAAAAAAAUGUCUUAUUUCAUUUUAAUUAUUUCUUGUCUAAAAAGUAAUCUUGGUUUUCAGGAUUGACACCUACAUGAGUAGUUCUUUACAGGCAAUGAAUAAUUUCUUGUGUAUAAAUCUGUGUUGUUUGUGUAUGUAUUGUUCCUUGUAGAAGUAUUGCUCUCAUGCAGGGAGAGUGACAUUGCAAAAAAGACUAAACUUUGUUCCGUUAACUUUUGAAGUAACUGUUUUCAAACGGGAGCUUCAUUGACAUGUAUGUGGGAACUCUGCUUCCCGCUUUUUCAUAACAGAUAAGGAAAUGCUAUCCCUGCACUGCUGUGAAGGCAUUGAGGCUUACAUGUACUAUGCUCCCUGGAGACUGGAAUUUUGGCGUGUGCCACCAGAGAGGUUGGUGUAACCACUCUGCAGAAGAGUAAGACUGCAGAGGCCACCGGAUUAGCCAUAGAUGCUGGGUUUCACCGCAAAGAUUCUGCUUAUUUGCACCGAAACAAAGAGGGGGUGGGAGUGGACAUUCAGAGGAAGAUUGCAGAUGCCCCCAUGAAGAGAGAAGACAUCUUCUACACUGCAAAGCCAGAAGAGGACCUGCAUCCAGUAGAUGAGCACGGAAAAUUAUGUAGGGCACAGUGGACCACUGUGACACAUGGAGUCCUUACUUGCAGUGAUAUUGAUCCAUGCUCCCUGCACAAAUUAUUAAGUGAAUAUUCUUCAUAAUCACUUCCUCUGAGGCCAUGGAGAAGUGUAAGGAUGCAGGAUUGGCCAAGUCCAUCGGGGUGUCCAACUUUAACCGCAGGCAGCUGGAGAUGAUCCUGAACAAGCCAGGGCCCAAGUACAAGCCUGUCUGCAACCAGGUGUUCGAAUUCCAGGUGACUCCUAAGGACAUGAAAGCCAUAGAGAGCUUGAACAGAAACUUGUCAUAUCUUCCUGUUGAGUUGUAAGUAAUUUUGAAGCAUAUCUUGCCUCAUUUUAUUUUAGUUUUAAGUUUCACCCAUCUUUAUCAGUGUGUGUUUGCUCAGAACACUGUGUUUAUCACUCAGAAAGCUGCCCUUGUGGUGGUCAAUGGAAUAUUUGGUUUCCAGUGUCUGAGAUACACAAUGCAGGGUAUAAGGAGAUGUUAGAAGAGAAAUUAAAAACCAACGUAGUAUGUUUCUGAAGAGCUGCACUGCUGAAAAAAAUUUACAAUCAUCAAAAUAGCUUUACUAUUCCUUCAUGCUCUAUGGCUAUACUGAUAUUGGAUAUACAUUAUAAAUGAGGGGAAACAAGGAAUAUAUAUCCCCUCAACCUGCAAGAAUUUUAACUCCUAAUAGAAACACAUUAUAAUGUUUGAAAGAGGAUUAGACAAUUGACAAUUGUAUGUUCUCAACAAUCAGCAGAUACAUUGUUAUCAUUGUUAAUACUCCUAAUAGUAUAAAGAACAAUGAAGGAUAAGGUGGGAACAUGUAUUAAAGUGACAUAGAGUGGUAAUCAAUCAAACAAUGAUUUCUAUAACUUUAUAUCUUGUGUUGUUUUUAGUGUAGAAAUCUACAAAUUGUAUGGUAAGAUCCCUGAAGGUGAAAGUCUGUAUCAUAAAUGACCUUCUUUACAUUACUGAAUCUAACCAAAUAUGGUAAUUGUGAUGUGUCAUAGGUAAAUAAAAAAUGAAUAAGAAAAAGAGAAGUGAAAAUGCUAACAGUAAAUUGUACACCCUAAAAUAUUUGUUGAUCAUUAUUUGGACUUGUAAGCAUUACAUAUUCAUUUUCUGUUUUCAGUGAGAAUUCAAAAUCAGAAAGAAUUUCUUUGCUUUUGCUGCUUUGAAUAAUAUAGAGGAAUAUAAUAAAUAUUUGACUCUGUGUGUUCUUUUUGUUCAGCUAUAGUCAGAAAAUAAAAUUUGAAAAAUUUUGUUAGGAUUUAAAAUUUUUUCUAUUAAAGUAUGUUCACAAAAAACAAAUGGUAGAUUUUAAAGCAGUCACAAAAAAUGGUUAACUUCCACAGUUUUAGAAUAUGCACAGAUAUUACUACUUUACCAUCAUAGAAGUGGUAGAAGUGGACUCAUAAAGAGCAUAUUACACGUUUUUUCUAAUUAUAGCAUUGAGGACCACCCUAAUUAUCCAUUUGCUGAUGAAUAUCAAUGCGGAGGCCAUUGUUACGACUCCUGUCAGAAAUUUAUGUGGAAAAUGAUGGGGAAACAUCUCUGGUGCUGCUGUUUUACACAUCAUCCUGCUCAAACCAUGCUGAUUAGCAGCACUCACAGCUUGAGUUAAGUCCACUCCAGAAGAG